rnacentral:hammerhead_ribozyme from 1 species
AUCCAGCUGACGAGUCCCAAAUAGGACGAGACGUGCAUCCCAGAU